rnacentral:rRNA from 1 species
GACGAACGCUGGCGGCGUGCUUAACACAUGCAAGUCGAACGGAAAGGCCCUGCUUUUGUCGGGUUCUCGAGUGGCGAACGUGUGUGUAACACGUGAGUAUCCUUCCCUUUACUUUGUGAUAUCUUCAGGCAACUGCGGCUAAUACCGGCUAGGUGCUCCUGCUGCAUGGUGGUCGUUGGAAAGUUUAGGCGGUUGUGGAUCGACUGGCGGGUUAUCAGCUUGUUGGUGGAGUAGUGGCUUACCAAGGCUUUGGCGGGUAGGCGGCCUGGGAGGUUGAACGGGGACCAGAGGACUGAGAGACGGAGCAGAGUGGAACGGGAGGCAGCAGUGGAGAAUAUUGUACAAUGAGGGGAAGCGUGAUAAAGCAGUGUCGGGAGCGGGAAGACGGCCAACGGGUGGGAAAGCGCAUUAGGAUGAGACGAAGCGUGAGUGACGGUAAUGGGAAAAGAAGCACCGGCUAACUACGUG